rnacentral:lncRNA from 1 species
GAUAAAUGUGGGCUCAGAUAUACACGGCCAGCAGUAAUCAUCAUAGCCCAUUACAGGUAUACCAUGAGUAUACAGUAAAUAUACAAUGAAUAUGUCACUUAUCCUUUGGUUUGGAUUCUCAUCUCAACAACCCCACCUAGCACUUUCAAGCGGAGCCACUGUUAUAGUCAUAGUUUUGCUAGAACCCCAUCAUGUUGUUACAAAUCCUGUAAUUAAAUUAUGAAUUUAUUUAGUAUAUAUAAAUAAUAUAUUGAACUUAAUAAGCAAAUUAAAAAGAAUUGUUAUUCAUAAACCAUAAACUAAAAAUCUUGACUUUGUCAUUUAUCAGUUAAACCCUAGAAACUCGAUCUCAAACAAAGAAAAUAUUAUAUAUACACACACUUAAUUGAGUUUAGGAGAAAUAAUUAAUGAGAAAUGUGUACAUAUGUAUUACCUCUACAUGCUCCAUUACUUUGUUCAAGUGCUUAUGAAAUGUAUUUCUAUUUCAGGAG